GGUUGGAGAGUGUUUGUGCCAAGCGUUCCUUAGAGCUGCGUAAAAGGUGAGGCAGGAAGGCAGGGCACCCGGGGAGAGACCCCCCACCUGGCUUUUGAGCCCUGAAGUUGGCUGGAUGGUGACUUCUGGUUUUAGGAGUGAGACCAAUACACUCUCAGAUUAGCUCUGGUCGUUUAUAAGACUGUCACUGAAAUCACCCUGUGAUUGCAAAAGACACCAGCUGCAGAGUACCUCCAGCUCAUCUCUCCUUUCUCUGAGACCAUCGUCUCUUCACCGCACAGCCAUAUUUAAACCUCAAGAUCCCACCCCUGCAUGUAGCUGAAUGGACCAGGAGUGGUCACUUGACUAAGCUUAGCCAGUCAUAUUCUCCCCCAACUGUCAAGCAUUUGGAACCAGCAUUUGCAGAUGCUAGAGCAUAUGCCCGGUUUGAAAAGAACAUGAUGAGCUGAAUUGAGAAGUGGCUUAAGUUGGGAGGGAGCCAUGAUCUGGGUCAGAAGAAGUGUUUGCAGAAACUGAGGGUAAUUGCCACAAAGGGGAGGGGGC
ensembl:lncRNA